AAUCAGAAAUGUUCUGCAUGGUCCUAAAGUUAAAAUAGAAAAAGGUAGGAUCUUAUAGUAUAACACAAAUAAACGUUAAAGGAGCAUUCCACUGCCAACCCCCACCACACCAAAUAAAUCACUAUUUAGUAGAUAUACCCUCAAUGAAAACAUGCAUGCAUUUAACUAUGUUUUUUCCCCUGUGGGUAUAUUUAAAAACAGGCUGCAAAAGCUGCAGAUUUCUUGUUUGCAGCCGUUGCAAGCCCUCCACCUUUCCCCAGCACAGACUUUCAGAGGCUUCACAUUGAGAAUUGGUACUGCGUAGUGAGCCAGGAAGCCAGGAACGCAGAGGUAAAAUAAACUCUGUAAACGUGCA